UCGGCAUACUGCUCAGUAACACGUAGGAUAACCAGCCCUGUGCUCCGGGAUAACCUCGGGAAACUGAGAAUAAUACCGGAUAGUCCACCACGCCUGGAACGGUGGGUGGAUCAAAGGUCACGGCACAGGAUGGGUCUGCGGCGUAUCAGGUUGUAGGGGGUGUAAAGGACCCCCUAGCCAUUGACGCGUACGGGUUGUGGGAGCAAUCGCCCGGAGAUGGAUUCUGAGACACGAAUCCAGACCCUACGGGGUGCAGCAGGCGCGAAAACUUCACACUGCAGGAAACUGUGAUGAGGGAACUCCAAGUGCAUGCACAAUGUGUAUGCUUUUCCUAACUUUUAAUCGGUUAGGGAAUAAGGGCUGGGAAAGACCGGUGCCAGCCGCCGCGGUAAUACCGGCAGCUCAAGUGGUCGUCGCUUUUAUUGGGCCUAAAACGUCCGUAGCCUGUUUGGUAAAUCUGUGGGUAAAUCAACCAGCUUAACUGGUUGAAUUCUGCAGAGACUGCCAGACUAGGGACCGGGAGAGGUGUGGGGUACUCUCGGGGUAGGGGUAAAAUCCUGUCAUCCUGGGAGGACCACCAGUUGCGAAGGCGCCACACUGGAACGGAUCCGACGGUCAGGGACGAAGCCUAGGGGCACGAACCGGAUUAGAUACCCGG
rnacentral:rRNA from 1 species